AGAGACAGGGUUUCUCCAUGUUGGCCAGACUGGUCUCGAACUCUUGACCUCGGGUGAUCCACCAGCCUCGGCCUCCCAAAGUGCUGGGAUUAUAGGAGUGAACUACCAUGCUUGGCCCAAUUACAGAUUUUUUAAGUUUAGGUUUUGACAGUAUAUCUCACCUCAGCCUUUCUCUCUCUCUGUCACGCAGCCCACAGGGGAGACGGUAAGGUCAGUGUGGGGGCUAAUGAAUAAAUGCUACAUGGUGCCCACUGAGGUGGGUAAGGGCUAGGCACUUCUCUUCCCCUGGAGUGGGGUGGCUGUGCUGGGUACCCUUGGCAGACACGGUAAGGGGGACUGCACCUGGAGAGGGUGGGCCAGUUGGGGAAGGACUGCUCAGCACUCGUAACUGUGUGUCACCCCUCGCACUUCUCUCUGCAGAGACACAGGAGGGGGAAGAAGCCAGCCUCUGAGGUAAGGCUUCCCCUGGAAGGCCCUGGGCUGGGGCUCUCUCCUGUCAGAGCUCAGUUACACACAGGGCGAGGAGUCCCAGGGUAGUGGCGGGCCCCCUCCAGGAAAUUCACAAGGUUACCACAGCUCAGCUGAAAAGGUAGAACUUCCCAGAAUGUGGCACCCUAGUGUGAGAACAUGAGGAGGAUGAGAUGUUCUGACGGUGUUUUUUUUGAGAUGGAGUUUUGCUCUUGUUGCCCAGGCUGGAGUGCAAUGGUGUGAUCUCGUCAAACUGCAACCUCCACCACCUGGGUUCAAGCAGUUCUCCUGUCCAGCCCUCCCGAGCAGCUGGGAUUGCAGCUCAUGACCCCCAGGGGGCCUGGAGGACUGAAUGAUGUUGCUCCCCAAGGAGGAGGCUGCCAUCUUGUCUCAGGAGAGAGAGCAGGUGAAGUCCCCAUGGGAGGAAGCAUCUAGCCCCAUUCCUGCUGAGCAAGAGGUGGCAGGGACCCCAGGCUGGGAGGUAAGGACAGCCUGAGGCUUCAGCUGGAACAUCUCCAGCAUGAGUCCAACUGAGCAGGCAGAGAGGCACUGCUGGAGGCUGGCUCAACCCCAAGAUGAGCAGGCCAAGCUGCCAUUUUAGGUGAGCGAGGACAUCUGUGCGGAGCUGAGAGACGGCAGCCAUGUGUGAACAGACUGGGUCUCAUCCUGGCCUCCCCUGACUUCAUGUGGACAGAGCCUGUUUCCCUGUCUGUGCAGCACAGAACCUUUCUGAUCUCAUUGCUGGGUCCCUCUUCUUCCUGCCAGGAAAAUAAACAGGUUCCAAAGGAA